CCUGCACAGGCAGACCGCGAACCCGUUCAAACACAAUUGGGCUUGCCGUGUGGGGAAACUCCUCGGCGCGUCCUUCAACCGCGUGGGCAUUGCUCAUUGCGGGCUAACGAACCCCGGCGCGGCAUGCGCCAAGGAAAAAUCAUAGGAGCGUCCGCUCCCAUCGCCCCGUGCGCGGCGAGCGAGGGGGAUAGAGACGUGCCUCAAAUGUCCAAGUGACUCUCGGCAACGGAUAUCUCGGCUCUCGCAUCGAUGAAGAACGUAGCGAAAUGCGAUACUUGGUGUGAAUUGCAGAAUCCCGUGAACCAUCGAGUCUUUGAACGCAAGUUGCGCCCGAAGCCACCCGGCCGAGGGCACGCCUGCCUGGGCGUCACGCAUCGCGUCGCCCCCCGCMUGCUCCUAUUUGGGGCGAUCGGUUGGGGCGGAUAUUGGCCUCCCGUGUGCGCCUGCCCGCGGCCGGCUCAAAUAAAAUCAAGUGGCGCCCUUCGUCACGGCGAGCGUAGGUUGAGCAGUCACUCUCUUGCUGUCGUGAUGCAUUGCGUGCCGCGUCCUCACAGACCCAAUGGCGCGACAUGCAUGUGCCUUCGUACGCGACCCCAGGUCAGGCGGGACUACCCGCUGAGUUUA
rnacentral:rRNA from 1 species